GGCCGCCUGGCGAAAUGGCAUCGCGUCUGACUACGAUAGGGGUUCAACCACAAUUAUCGAUAAUCAGGAGAUCGCAGGUUCGACCCCUGCGGUGGUCA